rnacentral:tRNA from 1 species
GGAGAUUUGGCCGAGUGGUUAUGGCGAUGGUUUUAAGUUCUUUGAAAUAACACCAUUAUCGAAAGAUGCGUGGGUUCGAACCCCACAGUCUCCA